rnacentral:rRNA from 1 species
GGCGCACGGGUGAGUAACGCGUGGGAACCUGCCCUGUGGUACGGAAUAACUCCGGGAAACUGGAGCUAAUACCGUAUGUGUCCUGCGGGACAAAGAUUCAUCGCCAUGGGAUGGGCCCGCGUAGGAUUAGCUUGUUGGCGGGGUAACGGCCCACCAAGGCAACGAUCCUUAGCUGGUCUGAGAGGAUGAUCAGCCACACUGGGACUGAGACACGGCCCAGACUUCCUACGGGAGGCAGCAGUGGGGAAUAUUGGACAAUGGGCGCAAGCCUGAUCCAGCAAUGCCGCGUGAGUGAUGAAGGCCUUCGGGUUGUAAAGCUCUUUCGCACGCGACGAUGAUGACGGUAGCGUGAGAAGAAGCCCCGGCUAACUUCGUGCCAGCAGCCGCGG